rnacentral:rRNA from 1 species
UACGUAGGGGGCAAGCGUUGUCCGGAUUUAUUGGGCGUAAAGAGCUCGUAGGCGGUUGGGCAAGUCACGUGUGAAAUCUCCACGCUCAACGUGGAGGCGCCACGUGAGACUGCCCUGACUCGAGUCCGGUAGGGGAGCGUGGAAUUCCCGGUGUAGCGGUGAAAUGCGCAGAGAUCGGGAGGAACACCCGUAGCGAAGGCGGCGCUCUGGGCCGGUACUGACGCUGAGGGGCGAAAGCGUGGGGAGCAAACAGG